AUGUCCUUAGUUAUCUCUUCCCUGGACCAUUGCAAUGGCCUCCUAACUGGUCUUCCCAUCUCCAUUCUCUCCUCUUUCAUAGCCUUCCUGUGCUGUUAUGUUAAUCAUGCCUUUACAAAAAACUACAUUGUCCACCAAAUGUAUUUUUUUCAGGUUAGGAUAAGAGAAUUGAGAGGAAGAACAGAGCUAUAGAAAAAGGAAGAGAAAAAAAGGAAGAGAGGGAAUGGAAAACAAAGAAAAGAAAGAAGGAAAGAAAAAGGGAGAAAAGAGGAGAAUAAAGGAGGAAAAGAAGAGAGAAAAGCCA
rnacentral:lncRNA from 1 species